CCUACGGGGGGCAGCAGUGAGGAAUAUUGGUCAAUGGACGAGAGUCUGAACCAGCCAAGUAGCGUGCAGGAUGACGGCCCUAUGGGUUGUAAACUGCUUUUAUACGGGGAUAAAAGGUGUCACGUGUGACAUUUUGCAGGUACCGUAUGAAUAAGGACCGGCUAAUUCCGUGCCAGCAGCCGCGGUAAUACGGAAGGUCCGGGCGUUAUCCGGAUUUAUUGGGUUUAAAGGGAGCGUAGGCUGCCGGUUAAGUGUGUUGUGAAAUGCAGGCGCUCAACGUCUGCCUUGCAGCGCAUACUGUCCGGCUUGAGUACGCACAACGUUGGCGGAAUUCGUCGUGUAGCGGUGAAAUGCUUAGAUAUGACGAAGAACUCCGAUUGCGAAGGCAGCUGACGGGAGCGUUACUGACGCUGAAGCUCGAAAGUGCGGGUAUCGAACA
rnacentral:rRNA from 1 species